GGAUGUAAUGGGCGCAUUCACGACGGUGUGUCUCAUUUUAAAUUUCUGGGAGGAUUGACAGAUUGAAAGCUUUUUCUUGAUUUGGUGGAUAGUGGUGCAUGUCCUUUCUUCGUUGUCGGAGCGAUUUGUCUGGUUAAUUCCGAUAACGAACGAGACUCCAGCCUAUUAGAUAGGUGCGUGGUUCUCAGCACCUUGACCCCUCCUUAGAGGGACAAGCGGCUCCUAGCCGCACGAAACAGAGCAAUAACAGGUCUGUGAUGCCCUUAGAUGUCCGGGGCCGCACGCGCGCUCCACUGAAGAAAACAGCGUGUUUUUAUCCCUGUCUGUUA
rfam:Ixodes scapularis strain Wikel colony gcontig_1108378985154, whole genome shotgun sequence.